rnacentral:rRNA from 1 species
AGCAGCCGCGGUAAUCCCAGCUCCAAUAGCGUAUAUUAAAGUUGUUGCAGUUAAAAAGCUCGUAGUUGAAUUUUAGGCCUGACCGGGCGGUCCGUCUCCAGCGAGUACUGUCCUGUUGUCGGGUCUAUCCUUCUGGUGAGCCGAUAUGUCCUUUAUUGGGUGUGUCGGGGAACCAGAACCAUUACCUUGAAAAAAUUAGAGUGCUUAAAGCGAGCUUUUGCUUGAAUAGAUUAGCAUGGAAUAAUAAAAUAGGACGUUGGUUCUAUUUUGUUGGUCUAGGACCACCGUAAUGAUUAAUAGGGAUAGUUGGGGGCAUUAGUAUUCAAUUGUCAGAGGUGAAAUUCUUGGAUUUAUUGAAGACUAACUACUGCGAAAGCAUUUGCCAAGGAUGUUUUCAUUAAUCAAGAACGAAAGUUAAGGGGAUCGAAGACGAUCAGAUACCGUCGUAGUCUUAACCAUAAACUAUGCCGACUAGGAAUCGGGCGACGUUAUUUCAAGACUCGCUCGGCGCCUUAUGGGA